rnacentral:rRNA from 1 species
CCUACGGGGAGCAGCAGUGGGGAAUAUUGGACAAUGGGCGAAAGCCUGAUCCAGCCAUGCCGCGUGUGUGAAGAAGGCCUUCGGGUUGUAAAGCACUUUCAGUGGGGAAGAAAGCCUUGGGGCUAAUACCCUCGAGGAAGGACAUCACCCACAGAAGAAGCACCGGCUAACUCCGUGCCAGCAGCCGCGGUAAUACGGAGGGUGCGAGCGUUAAUCGGAAUUACUGGGCGUAAAGCGCGCGUAGGCGGUCUGAUAAGCCGGUUGUGAAAGCCCCGGGCUCAACCUGGGAACGGCAUCCGGAACUGUCAGGCUAGAGUGCAGGAGAGGAAGGUAGAAUUCCCGGUGUAGCGGUGAAAUGCGUAGAGAUCGGGAGGAAUACCAGUGGCGAAGGCGGCCUUCUGGACUGACACUGACGCUGAGGUGCGAAAGCGUGGGUAGCAAACAGGAUUAGAUACCGGGUAGUC